rnacentral:rRNA from 1 species
AUUGAACGCUGGCGGCAGGCCUAACACAUGCAAGUCGAACGGUAGCACAGAGAGCUUGCUCUCGGGUGACGAGUGGCGGACGGGUGAGUAACGUCUGGGAAACUGCCCGAUGGAGGGGGAUAACUACUGGAAACGGUAGCUAAUACCGCAUAACGUCGCAAGACCAAAGUGGGGGACCUUCGGGCCUCACACCAUCGGAUGUGCCCAGAUGGGAUUAGCUAGUAGGUGGGGUAAUGGCUCACCUAGGCGACGAUCCCUAGCUGGUCUGAGAGGAUGACCAGCCACACUGGAACUGAGACACGGUCCAGACUCCUACGGGAGGCAGCAGUGGGGAAUAUUGCACAAUGGGCGCAAGCCUGAUGCAGCCAUGCCGCGUGUAUGAAGAAGGCCUUCGGGUUGUAAAGUGCUUUCAGCGGGGAGGAAGGCGGUGGAGUUAAUAACUUCACCGAUUGACGUUACCCGCAGAAGAAGCACCGGCUAACUCUGUGCCAGCCGCCGCCGUAA